rnacentral:ncRNA from 1 species
GGCUCAUCCAGAGGGGCAGAGGGAACGGCCCAGCGAAGCCCCGGCAACCACCCGCAUCCGAUGCGCGGCAGGUGCUAAUUCCGACCCGCGGCAGACCGCCACGCGGGAAAGAUGAGGA